AGAAACUCUUUUCCUUUAAUAACAUGAAUCUAACUUCAAGCGCUUAGAACUUGAUUAAUACAUUUCUUCACUAAUACUUUAAUACAUGUUUUUAACGUGUUUUUAAACAUGGUUAUUGAUGUUGCCAGUUUUAUCGUGCCGGGAAGGUUGUUCCAGAGGAGGAGCGCACAGGUCCAGAAUGCUGGCUCCCUCCAUAAUGUUACAGCGGGACAUGGAUACAUGUGUGUCGCCAUCACGUACUCCUUCAUGUUGAAAUAUCUGAACAGGAAGCGCUCGCUUAAUUCUGCUGUCUGGCCACAGAUCACACAUACAAUGUACCGUUUUUCCCCUCACCGCCAUAUCAGCACAAGAAACAGAAAUGAUAGAAAUGACUCUGAUGUGCACUGAAGCAGACUGAAGGAGCUGAGAAAAGGUCGAAAAGUGAUUGCAUUAAAAUGA